GGAUGCCCAGUUAAAUUUUAACUUCAAAUAAGCAACAAUACAUUUUUUUAGGGUAAGUAUGUUCCAUGCAAUGUUUGGUACAUACUUAUCCUAAAAAAUAAUCAUUGCUUAUCUGAAAGCCAUAUUUAACUGGGCAUCCUGUA
rnacentral:miRNA from 1 species